GAAAGUUUAUAAGCAAAAGUGCCAUGGGUUUCUUCUACUCAGACUCCAAUGUCCAGGGGCUUUAUGAUAGCUGACAAGAAGCACUUUGUACUCAACUCCUCCACUAGAAGCACCAAAAUUAUGAAUAGAUUAUCACACCUCAAAUCGAUGAAACAAGAGAAAAUGGAAAUUCAAUGGAAAAGUGACAGACAAUAAUUAAAGCAAAGGAGAAGGAAGCAAGGCAGCUUGCAAGGCCAGCAGUGGCUGAG
rnacentral:lncRNA from 10 species